rnacentral:rRNA from 1 species
AGAAUCCCGUCUUUGACACGGACUCCCAGUACAUUGUGGUACGCUCUCGAAGAGUCGAGUUGUUUGGGAAUGCAGCUCAAAAUGGGUGGUAAAUUCCAUCUAAAGCUAAAUAUUGGGGAGAGACCGAUAGCGAACAAGUACCGUGAGGGAAAGAUGAAAAGAACUUUGGAAAAAGAGUUAAACAGUACGUGAAAUUGCUGAAAGGGAAACGCUUGAAGUCAGUCGCGUUGUGCAGGAUUCAGCCUGGCUUUUGCUUGGUGCACUUCCUGUACGACGGGUCAGCAUCAGUUUUGACCGGUGGAUAAGGGCAUAAGAAAUGUGGCAUCUUCGGAUGUGUUAUAGUCUUGUGUCGCAUACAUCGGUUGGGACUGAGGAACUCAGCACGCCGCAAGGUCAGGUUUUCUAACCAUGUUCGUGCUUAGGAUGCUGGCAUAAUGGCUUUAAUCGACCCGUCUUGAAACACGGACCAAGGAG